rnacentral:rRNA from 1 species
AUGAUUAAGCUACUAAGAGCUUAUGGUGGAUGCCUUGGCGCCAAGUGCCGAUGAAGGACGUGGGACACUGCGAUAAGCCUCGGGGAGCCGUGUACAGGCUUUGAUCCGGGGAUUUCCGAAUGGGGAAACCUGCCGUUGCGAUCCAACGGCGUCUCUCGGUUGAACACAUAGACCGGGAGAUGGGCACCUGGGGAACUGAAACAUCUAAGUACCCAGAGGAAAAGAAAUUAUUCCCCUAGUAGUGGCGAGCGAACGGGGAUCAGCCCAAACUCAAGAAGCUUGCUUCUUGGGGGUUGUAGGGCCUGGCACUACAGAAGUGACAAAUCGGUCUGCUAGCAGAAAGGUAUGGGAAAGCCUACCAAAGAGGGUGAUAGUCCCGUAUGCGAAAGUGGAUCGACUUCUGCCAGGUACCUGAGUACCACCGGGCACGCUAAUCCGGUGGGAAGCUGGGGAGUCCACUCUCCAAGGCUAAAUACACUUGGCGACCGAUAGUGAACAAGUACCGUGAGGGAAAGGUGAAAAGUACCCCGGUGAGGGGAGUGAAAUAGAACCUGAAACCAUAAGCUUACAAGCAGUCGAAGGGCUAAUGGCGGGUCUGUGCGCCGGCGAAAGCCGGAUGCGCGCCGCUAUGCCUGACGGCGUGCCUCUUGGAGAAUGAGCCUGCGAGUUAAUCUUUGUGGCAAGGUUAAGGGAGUGACACCCGUAGCCGUAGCGAAAGCGAGUCUGAAUAGGGCGUAUAGUUGCAAGGAUUAGACACGAAACCGAGUGAGCUACCCAUGGCCAGGGUGAAGCGGAUCUAACCAUCCGUGGAGGCCCGAACCUACUAAUGUUACAAAAUUAGGGGAUGAGCUGUGGGUAGAGGUGAUAUGCCAAACGAACUCGGAGAUAGCUUGUUCUCCCCGAAAUAGCUUGAGGGCUAGCGUCAUGCGUUCAGUAUCGGAGGUAAAGCACUGGAUGGGCUAGGGGGCUUACUGCUUACCGAACCCAACCAAACUCUGAAUGCCGAUACUCUAGAGCAUGGCAGUCGGACUACGGGAGAUGAGUUUCGUGGUCGAGAGGGAAACAGCCCAGAUCAUCGGCUAAGGUCCUAAAGUUUAGGCUAAGUGGGAAACGAUGUGGGACUACUCGGACAACCAGGAGGUUGGCUUAGAAGCAGCCACCCUUUAAAGAGUGCGUAAUAGCUCACUGGUCAAGUGGUCCUGCGCGGAAAAUUUAACGGGGCUAAGCCUAACACCGAAGCCAUGAGUCUCAGCUUUAAGCUGGGGCAGUAGGGGAGCGUUCUGUCCGCAGGGAAGGUCGAUCGAAAGGACGGCUGGAGCAGACAGAAGUGAGAAUGCAGGCAUGAGUAGCGUAAAACAUGUGAAAACCAUGUUCGCCGUAAGUCUAAGGUUUCCGACGGCAGGUCAAUCCGCGUCGGGUUAGUCGGCCCUUAGCUGAGGCUGAAAAGCGUAAGUGAUGGAUAUCCGGUCAAUAUUCCGGAACCACCUGAGUGGAGCGAUGAGGACAUGCAACAGGGUAGACCGGCCUGCGAUUGGUUGUGCAGGUGUAAACGUGUAGGCGUUGAGGCUGGCAGGCAAAUCCACCAGCCGAGCCGAGGCGUGAAUGCGAGCCUUUAAGGCGGAAGCGGUUAAGCCCAGUUGCCGAGAAAAGCCUCUAAGCGUUGAAGUUCAGGUGCCCGUACCGCAAUCCGACACUGGUAGACGGGUAGAGCAUACCAAGGCGAACGGGAGAACCCUCGUUAAGGAACUAGGCAACUUAGCCCCGUAACUUCGGGAGAAGGGGUGCCUCUCCGCGUGAAAGUAUUCAACUGGAGCGUGGGGGGGUCGCAGUGAAAUGGUUCUAGUGACUGGUUAACAAAACCACAGGUCUCUGCAAAGCCGCAAGGCGAUGUAUAGGGGCUGACGCCUGCCCAGUGCCGGAAGGUUAAGGGGAGAGGUUAGCGGAAGCGAAGCUUUGAACCGAAGCCCCGGUGAACGGCGGCCGUAACUAUAACGGUCCUAAGGUAGCGAAAUUCCUUGUCGGGUAAGUUCCGACCCGCACGAACCGCGUAACGAUCAGAGCACUGUCUCAACGAGGGACCCGGUGAAGUUGAAAUGGCUGUGAAGAUGCGGCCUACCCGCAGCAG